rnacentral:lncRNA from 1 species
CAACAAACACACCUAACUGACAUUAAAUUCCCCAGCUUUUUUGUUUAUAUUUUAAAUGUUUAGUUUUGGACUUUCAUACUUUUACUUAGAGGAGAGGAUAGAUAAAGUAAGGAACAAAUACAGAGAGUUGAAACCCACAUCCUCUGCUCCAAAGACUUGCACACAGAGACGCUGCAGACUACAGUAACAACAGAAAAAGGUUAGAUAACCUAGAUUUCCAAAACCUUCGUUUUGAAGAACUGUUUGGUUACUCUUUAUAUUCUAAUAAAUUACUUGGUUGGAUGCAUAAUAUAUUAACUUUCGAUCAAGUUACAGUAUAUCUAACGAAAUAUCCCCAAUGGCUGUACCAAUGUAAUACUGUUUUGGAUUGUGGAAGUAGACAAAGCCAGUCAUUUACCAAGGCAUUAAGCUACCCAAUCAGAUCAAUGUCUCUCUUCACUGGCCAAUCACCAACUCAAAUAGUCCAUUCAGACAUAAAACUGUAGCUAAGGGCUGUCCAAUGCCACAGGUAUGGGGCACAGGAAAACCUCGGGCCAGAGAGGCUUUGUGAUGCUCUGGCAUUGGCUGAAUGUUGCUCUGUGUUGUUGCAGCUCCAAGAUAUUUUAUCACACUUUGUACAAGUGAUUUGUUCAAAUUAAUCUGCUGGAGACUAUUAGCUGCUCUAGCUCUGAGACCCAUCGCCACUUCUUCAUGGCAGUGGAGACCUUUAAAUCUGUUCUUUAAUGAUGGUUGACAAGCGCCGUCAAGGUGCAUUUCCACAACAUACUGAGUUGUAUUUCAAAAACUGCCCUUAUAAUGUAAGCUAAGGUAUGUCAACUGGAAAUCCCAUUCAAUCAUAUGUGAAUCGCAAUGAUUUACCUCUAAGAUUUCACACCAAAAAAUUUUCUUGAACGUCGUAAAAACUUUAUUUUUCAGCAUGUUGUGGAGAGACCACAUGGCAGGCAUGCUGAGUUAUGGCUACUAACUGGCUAACUUGUUAUUUUCCUUCGUUCAGUUGCUAAUGUUGGUUGUCAAGUGGGUCUAUAUGAUUAAAUUAACCUGUUUAUCAAGGUUUAACACACUGUGAAUCUGAGUAAUGUCAUCAUUCUAAAAUAUGGUCAUGAAUUCAGAUUUUUAAGUUCACUUUAGUAUGAAAUACAGAAAGAUUUGUUAGCUUUUACACACAAAUUGCUUCCAAUGGCAAAUAGCAAUUUCUUUGGUUUCUGUCCAUCCAUAUAGAACUGCGUUUUCUUAAACACAAAUCUUUCAAGACAAAAACACAACGCAAAGUUUGUCGCAGUCUUUCUUUCAAGCUCACAUCCGCAAAAAAAUGGCUUUGUGUAUCACUUUUGGACCCCGACCCAUCAGUUGAGAACCCCAGUCUGUACUGAGAUCCCCUGUUUUUAUUGGUUUAAAUGGUUACAAUAUGAGCAUCAUUGCGUAUCUCAUUAAAUCCAUACCAGAGAUCAAUGGCUUUCCAACAGGUUAGAGUUUAUCUCACCCUUAAAACAAUCACAUUGUGGAGUCACAGUGCAUGACUGCUCCAUCACACAAUGUUCUUUCUUGUCCUCUGUACUGUUUUGUUCGUAGUAGCAGAGGUUACUCCUUUCUUCCAAGCUCAGAUGAACUUCCCUCACUCUGGAUUUGACGUCAUCAUCAUAUGUCUGUCUGCAGUGACGCAAAUAAACUCUGAAACAUGAUUCAAGCAAUAUUAACCCACAAAACCAUAAACCCCGAGUACGUUGAGGAUUUGCACUCGCCUGUAUAUCCAUGUAUGUGCUUUUGUUAUGAUGUUCAGUUUUUCUAGCUCUUAGUUUCCUAAUGAUUGGUAACAAUCAUUGGGUAAUGGGGAAAGAAAUAAGCCCCAUGGGAAAAGAUUUCCUCUUUUUUAUAUGUUAACACUAACUAUUAGGAUAUUAACAUGACUUGUAAUUGUCAAAGAUAAUUUGAAUUACAUUUUAAGUUUCAAAUAUCAUAUUUAAUUCCGUUUACAGUGUUAUUUUCAGGACUACUACACAAGAUAAAACUAAUGAGUUUGUAAUGUUAACUCUCGAGUAUUAACACAAAACAUCUUGGUUUUGUUACAGUACUAUGAAAUAAAACCUGCUGUAUCAUUUUCCCCAUUCUUAGAGUUACAUCCUGUGUUCUAGUCUUAUUAAUAAUACAAAGAAUAUAUAAUAUUAAUGCUGACUUGGCCUGACCCUCAAUGCAUUGGCUUUAUUAGCUUUGUAGUGAAGGUCUUUUCUAAUUCAGCCAUGAGCAUCACACCCACAUAACGACUGUAGUGUCAGCUAUAUACAGCUCUAUUGUGAUUUAAUUAUCUAUUAAGAAUCUGCAUGUAUUAGACUGAACUCUCACACACUGAUCGAGAUGACACCAAAGACUCAACUUUAGACAUAAAAUCAAACUUGAGAAUGAGACUCUGAGGGUCAUGACAGCAGGAUUUGAGAGGCAGCUGGAAAAUGUCACGGGUUGAUCUGUUCUCAAUAACUGAAUGAGAGCAUUUGAUAUUGCUCUGCGAGGUGACAGAUGCCUCGCUGUUUUCAAAUGAUGCUUUGCUUUUGGCAUUUUGAAAUAUGCAAGGAUGGGAUUUUUCUGAUUGUAUUUCUGUUUAGAGACUCACAGAGGAAAGAUUUUUUUUAAAUCCAUUAUGGGGGAAAUAAUUGCUACCUGAUACAUAGGGUUAAUAUAUUUGUCCUCCCCAUUAUCUUAUUAAAACUAUCAUGCUCAGAACUAUGACAUUCCCUUUUGUGAAUUGGUAUCAGCUAGAAUAAGAAAAAUACAAACACAACCCUAAGCCCCACUAGAGCCCCCUGCAGGCAUCGGUGUACUCCAAUGAAAUUAAACUGUAGGGACUGAACUUAAUGUGUGGACCUGAAAAUAAGACUGAAGACAAAUCAGAUCUUGGAGAUCUGAUUAAAAUAUGAUUGCAAUUUGAGAUCAAGACACAUCCAUUCGAGAUUGAAAUGUAUCAUCAUUGGAUCAUGUUGUACUCCUCACAAGGAUUUUAAAAUCGAAAUCGUAAGGGCUAGUGUCUACUAACAGAGCAUUUGAUUUCUGUGCAAAAGUAAAGCAGUUUAAGUGCUCUUUUUUAUCUUAAAAGAAGCAUCAAUGUGAAUUUUAUCUAUUUCACGAACAUCAAAAAAUUCCUUACAGGAGCUUUAAAGUCACAUAAGGUUAAAGAUGUGUUAAAUGGUUGGUGACACAGUAUGGCUGAUGUGCCUGGUAUUGAGAAAGUAUUGCUGAUAGAAUUUAAACUCCUUUCUAUUCUUUUUUAAAUCAACAAAAAACAUUGAUUAAAUCGUUUUAAAACUGGCAAAUCUGAAUAAUUUUCCAUAUUUUAUGCCUAUUUCAUCUGCAGCUCUUUAGACCUAAUCAAUGCAACCAGCUAACACAGUGAACCCAAUAGUAAAAUUGUUCAUUCACCUUUUACUGACAAAAAAUCUGGACAAGCAGAGAGACAGCUGCAGAAAAAUAUAAAAAAAACAGGACAACAAACAC